ACCCUGCUACUAUCUUCGGCGUCAUCCGUUGUUUCCCUGAACGGGGUGCUGGGCCCACACUUUAUUCACCGUCGAGGACUACGCCAGGGAGACCCGCUCUUCCCCUUCCUCUUCAUUCUCUCCAUAGACCCGCUGCACCACCUUCUGGCGUCGGCGGUUGAGCAUCAGAUCCUUCAUCAGAUACCAGGCCGCGAGCUGAAGCUUAGGGUUAGCCUCUACGCCGACGACGUUGUAGUGUUCAUAAACCCCUCUCGCGGGGAAAUUGACUCCCUCCUAGGCAUCCUACGGCAAUUCGGACAGGCAACGGGACUAUGCAUAAACACCACAAAAUCAACAGCGUCGCCGAUAAGCUGCAACGGAAUCGACCUCGCGGAGGUGCUCUGA
rnacentral:rRNA from 1 species